UUUCCGUAGGUGAACCUGCGGAAGGAUCAUUAACGAGUUAGGGUCUUCCAGGCCCGACCUCCCAACCCUAUGUUUAUUGAACCUCUGUUGCUUCGGCGGACCCGUCUCACGACCGCCGGAGGACCGCCGCGAGGCGUCCUCUGGCCAGCGUCCGCCGAUGGCCAACCACUUAGCUCUGAAUGAAUCGUGUCAUUAUGUCUAAGUCUAUGAUUAAAUUAAAGCAAAACUUUCAACAACGGAUCUCUUGGUUCUG
rnacentral:misc_RNA from 1 species